rfam:Ovis aries breed Texel chromosome 4, whole genome shotgun sequence.
UCCCUGGAAGUCCAGUGGUUAAGACUCUGUGCUUUCACUACAGGGGGCUCAGGUUCAAUCCCUAGUCAGGGAA